AGGCAGCAGUGGGGAAUAUUGCACAAUGGGGGAAACCCUGAUGCAGCCAUGCCGCGUGUGUGAAGAAGGCCUUCGGGUUGUAAAGCACUUUCAGCGAGGAGGAAAGGUUGGCGCCUAAUACGUGUCAACUGUGACGUUACUCGCAAAAGAAGCACCGGCUAACUCCGUGCCAGCAGCCGCGGUAAUGA
rnacentral:rRNA from 1 species